rnacentral:rRNA from 1 species
UACGGAGGGUGCGAACGUUGUUUGGAAUCACUGGGCUUAAAGGGCGCGUAGGCGGGCUAUCAAGUCCGGGGUGAAAUCCUCCAGCUUAACUGGAGAACUGCCUCGGAUACUGAUGGUCUCGAGGAGGAUAGGGGCACACGGAACUGUGGGUGGAGCGGUGAAAUGCGUUGAUAUCCAUAGGAACUCCGGUGGCGAAAGCGGUGUGCUGGAUCCUUUCUGACGCUGAGGCGCGAAAGCCAGGGGAGCAAACGGG